rnacentral:misc_RNA from 1 species
GCCAUCCAAUCCAGAACCUCUUCCUCCAUUUUCUGAAAAGUGUUAUGAAGAACCCAAUCUGCUUCAUCGAUGUUGGUGAACUGAUUCACUAACAGAUUAUAAAAAGCAGCAGGGUAUAAGCUGACAUUAUAUAUAAAAGAUGGUGUCUCUGAAGCUUCCAGCAAUGGCAAUCCAGGAAGUUGAACAACUGGCUCUGAUAAUGGCACUGGAAGGAGACCUCUCUGGACAUGGUAAUAUACGUUGCUGACAGCACAAGAUUGAGUGAAAAAAGCAACCCCUAGUACUCCUAAUUGCUUGGAUACAUCAAGUGCCCAAGGUAAGAACCCAUCAUAUACAAGGGCAUUAACAGGGUGACCAGAAUCAUUGAGAUUUUUUAUUAAAUU